rnacentral:rRNA from 1 species
UCUACGGGUGGCAGCAGUGAGGAAUAUUGGUCAAUGGGCGCGAGCCUGAACCAGCCAAGUAGCGUGAAGGAUGACUGCCCUACGGGUUGUAAACAUCUUUUAUAAAGGAAUAAAGUGAGGCACGUGUGCCUUUUUGUAUUUACUUUAUGAAAAAGGAACGGCUAACUCCGUGCCAGCCGCCGCGGUAAUACGGAGGAUCCGAGCGUUAUCCGGAUGUGAUGGGUUUAAAGGGAGCGUAGAUGGGUUGGUAAGUCAGUUGUGAAAGGUUGCGGCUCAACCGUAAAAUUGCAAUUGAUACUGGCAGGCUUGAGUACAGUUGAGGUAGGCGGAAUUCGUGGUGUAGCGGUGAAAUGCUUAGAUAUCACGAAGAACACCGAUUGCGAAGGCAGCUUACUAAACUGCCACUGACAUUGAUGCUCGAAAGUGUGGGUAGCAAACAGGAUUAGAUACCCUUGUAGUC